AGAUUGAACGCUAGCGGCAUGCCUAACACAUGCAAGUCGAACGGUAACAGGCCCUUCGGGGUGCUGACGAGUGGCGGACGGGUGAGUAAGGCAUCGGAAUCUGCCCUGAUGUGGGGGAUAACGUAGGGAAACUUACGCUAAUACCGCAUACGACCGAGAGGUGAAAGCGGGGGACCGAAAGGCCUCGCGCUGAAGGAGCGGCCGAUGUCCGAUUAGCUAGUUGGUGAGGUAAAGGCCUACCAAGGCUACGAUCGGUAGCUGGUCUGAGAGGACGACCAGCCACACUGGGACUGAGACACGGCCCAGACUCCUACGGGAGGGCAGC
rnacentral:rRNA from 1 species